ensembl:misc_RNA Metazoa_SRP Metazoan signal recognition particle RNA
GCUGGGCAUGGUGGCGCAUGCCUGUAAUCCCAGCUACUUGGGAGGCUGAGGCAGGAGAAUUGCCUGAACCCAGGAGGUGGAGGUUGCAGUGAGCCGAGAUUGUGCCAUUGCACUCCAGCCUGGGUAACAAGAGCGAAACUCUGUCUCAA